rnacentral:rRNA from 1 species
GAGUUUGAUCAUGGCUCAGAUUGAACGCUGGCGGCAGGCCUAACACAUGCAAGUCGAACGGUAACAGGAAGAAGCUUGCUUCUUUGCUGACGAGUGGCGGACGGGUGAGUAAUGUCUGGGAAACUGCCUGAUGGAGGGGGAUAACUACUGGAAACGGUAGCUAAUACCGCAUAACGUCGCAAGACCAAAGAGGGGGACCUUCGGGCCUCUUGCCAUCGGAUGUGCCCAGAUGGGAUUAGCUAGUAGGUGGGGUAACGGCUCACCUAGGCGACGAUCCCUAGCUGGUCUGAGAGGAUGACCAGCCACACUGGAACUGAGACACGGUCCAGACUCCUACGGGAGGCAGCAGUGGGGAAUAUUGCACAAUGGGCGCAAGCCUGAUGCAGCCAUGCCGCGUGUAUGAAGAAGGCCU